rnacentral:tRNA from 2 species
UAUGGCUAUAAGUUAAUGGUAGACUGUUUACCUUCCAAGUAAAGUGUGUCGAUUCGAAUUCGACUAGCCGUAUC